rnacentral:rRNA from 1 species
GACAGAGGGGGCGAGCGUUGUCCGGAGUCACUGGGCGUAAAGCGCGCGCAGGCGUCAACCCCAGUGUCGUGUGAAAGCCCCCGGCUCAACCGGGGGAGGCCAUGGCAAACUGGGUCGCUCGAGCUGCGGAGAGGCCCCUCGAAUUGCCGGUGUAGCGGUGAAAUGCGUAGAGAUCGGCAGGAAGACCAAGGGGGAAGGCAGGGGGCUGGCCGCAGCCUGACGCUGAGGCGCGUCAGCGUGGGGAGCAAACCGG